AGGGGCCCUUAAACGUGGCAAGUCGGAGCGGCAGCGGAGAGUAGCUUGCUACUUUGCCGGCGAGCGGCGGACGGGUGAGUAAUGUCUGGGAAACUGCCUGAUGGAGGGGGAUAACUACUGGAAACGGUAGCUAAUACCGCAUGACCUCGAAAGAGCAAAGUGGGGGAUCUUCGGACCUCACGCCAUCGGAUGUGCCCAGAUGGGAUUAGGUAGUUGGUGGGGUAAUGGCCUACCAAGCCGACGAUCCAUAGCUGGUCUGAGAGGAUGAUCAGCCACACUGGGACUGAGACACGGCCCAGACUCCUACGGGAGGCAGCAGUGGGGAAUUUUCCGCAAUGGGGGCAACCCUGACGGAGCAAGACCGCGUGAGGGAUGAAGGUCUGUGGAUUGUAAACCUCUU
rnacentral:rRNA from 1 species